GUGCUCACUUUGGCAGCACAUAUAGUAACACUGGAACAAUGCAGAGAAGAUUUGCAUGGGUUUUGCAUAGGAUGACACAUAAAUUCAUGAAGCAUUCCAUUUAAGA
ensembl:snRNA U6 U6 spliceosomal RNA